UACGGAGGGUGCGAGCGUUAAUCGGAAUUACUGGGCGUAAAGCGCGCGUAGGCGGCCAAGUCAGUCGGAUGUGAAAGCCCCGGGCUUAACCUGGGAAUUGCAUUCGAUACUGCUUGGCUAGAGUUUGGUAGAGGAUGGCGGAAUUCCUGGUGUAGCGGUGAAAUGCGUAGAUAUCCGGAGGAACAUCAGUGGCGAAGGCGGCCAUCUGGACCAAAACUGACGCUGAGGUGCGAAAGCGUGGGUAGCAAACAGG
rnacentral:rRNA from 1 species